rnacentral:rRNA from 1 species
AGAGUUUGAUCAUGGCUCAGAACGUACGCUGGCGGCACGCCUAACACAUGCAAGUCGAACGAAGUAGCAAUACUUAGUGGCAGACGGGUGAGUAACAUGUGGGUAUCUGCCCUUUGGCCUGGAAUAACACGAGGAAACUUGUGCUAAUACCGGAUAAGUCUUUACGGAGAAAGCUUUAUGCACCAUUGGAUGAGCCUGCACUUGAUUAGUUUGUUGGUGGGGUAAUGGCCUACCAAGACUGUGAUCAAUAGCUGAUUUGAGAGGAUGAUCAGCCACAUUGGGACUGAGACACGGCCCAAACUCCUACGGGAGGCANCAGUGGGGAAUCUUGCACAAUGGAGGAAACUCUGAUGCAGCGAUGCCGCGUGAGUGAAGAAGGCCCUUGGGUUGUAAAGC